CUGGUACGAACAUCCAAUCUACUACGCCACCAAGUCUCCCAAGCCUGCUACCCCAAGGGGCUCCUCUGCAAAUACUCAAACACAAGCCUCAGUGCACGAGGGUUUUGACAGCCGAACAUUGAGACUAUGUUUCCUUUGGCUCCCCAAUAACGGAGCUACCCAGCAUGAAAUCCAACCCGAUGUCCUUGGCGGAGAGCGGAGCGGAAUUCCGCCUUUAUCGAUAAGGCGCCAAGAGUGCUAGGUCCGUCCUAGCGGCAAAGCAACUCGGUUGUGCGCUUGAGCCGUACGUUGUCUUGCAUUGAGAUUUACUUGUCAAAAUCACUGAUGUCUUCGACAAUGGGAGUUGCUCUCUUGGUGAUCAGAAAGAUGGAUUCGCGCUCUAAAUGUUUUUUUUUUCAUGUAACUUGGUGGUAUGCACGG
rnacentral:sRNA from 1 species